rnacentral:rRNA from 1 species
GAUCAUGGCUCAGGAUGAACGCUAGCUACAGGCUUAACACAUGCAAGUCGAGGGGCAGCAUGACCUAGCAAUAGGUUGAUGGCGACCGGCGCACGGGUGAGUAACACGUAUCCGACCUACCGGUUAUUCCGGGAUAGCCUUUCGAAAGAAAGAUUAAUACCGGAUAGUAUAACGAGAAGGCAUCUUUUUGUUAUUAAAGAAUUUCGAUAACCGAUGGGGAUGCGUUCCAUUAGUUUGUUGGCGGGGUAACGCC